rnacentral:rRNA from 1 species
GAUGAACGCUGGCGGCGUGCCUAAUACAUGCAAGUCGAGCGAACAGACGAGGAGCUUGCUCCUCUGACGUUAGCGGCGGACGGGUGAGUAACACGUGGAUAACCUACCUAUAAGACUGGGAUGACUUCGGGAAACCGGAGCUAAUACCGGAUAAUAUAUUGAACCGCAUGGUUCAAUAGUGAAAGACGGUUUUGCUGUCACUUAUAGAUGGAUCCGCGCCGCAUUAGCUAGUUGGUAAGGUAACGGCUUACCAAGGCAACGAUGCGUAGCCGACCUGAGAGGGUGAUCGGCCACACUGGAACUGAGACACGGUCCAGACUCCUACGGGAGGCAGCAGUAGGGAAUCUUCCGCAAUGGGCGAAAGUCUGACGGAGCAACGCCGCGUGAGUGAUGAAGGUCUUCGGAUCGUAAAACUCUGUUAUUAGGGAAGAACAAAUGUGUAAGUAACUAUGCACGUCUUGACGGUACCUAAUCAGAAAGCCACGGCUAACUACGUG